UGCCAGCAGCCGCGGUAACACGAACCGGACAAACGUUAUUCGGAAUUACUGGGCUUAAAGAGUGCGUAGGCGGCUAUGUAGGUGGGGUGUGAAAGCCCACGGCUCAACCGUGGAAUUGCGCUCCAAACCACAUAGCUUGAGGGAGACAGGGGUAAGCGGAACUGAUGGUGGAGCGGUGAAAUGCGUUGAUAUCAUCAGGAACACCAGUGGCGAAGGCGGCUUACUGGGUCUCUUCUGACGCUGAGGCACGAAAGCUAGGGUAGCGAACAGGAUUAGAUA
rnacentral:rRNA from 1 species